GUGGCGAACGGGUGAGUAACACGUGAGUAACCUGCCCUGGACUCUGGGAUAACCCCGAGAAAUCGGAGCUAAUACCGGAUAGGACCUGGAACCGCAUGGUUUUGGGUGGAAAGUUUUUCGGUCUGGGAUGGACUCGCGGCCUAUCAGCUUGUUGGUGAGGUAAUGGCUCACCAAGGCGUCGACGGGUAGCCGGCCUGAGAGGGUGACCGGCCACACUGGGACUGAGACACGGCCCAGACUCCUACGGGAGGCAGCAGUGGGGAAUAUUGCACAAUGGGCGCAAGCCUGAUGCAGCAACGCCGCGUGAGGGAUGACGGCCUUCGGGUUGUAAACCUCUUUUAGUAGGGAAGAAGGGCUUCGGCUUGACGGUACCUGCAGAAAAAGCACCGGCUAACUACGUGCCAGCAGCCGCGGUAAUACGUAGGGUGCGAGCGUUGUCCGGAAUUAUUGGGCGUAAAGAGCUCGUAAGCGGUUUGUCACGUCUGCUGUGAAAUCCCGAGGCUCAACCUCCGGCCUGCAGUGGGUACAGGCAGACUGGAAUGCGGUAGGGGAAGAUUGGAAUUCCUGGUGUAGCGGUGGAAUGCGCAAAUAUCAGGAGGAACACCGAUGGCGAAGGCAGAUCUCUGGGCCGUACUGACGCUGAAGAGCGAAAGCGUGGGGAG
rnacentral:rRNA from 1 species